rnacentral:tRNA from 1 species
GAUCUAAUACUUUAAGUAAAAAGAUUUGACUUGCAUUCAAAAAAUAGAUUAAUAAAAUCUUUAGAUCA